UUGUUAGCAGUUUGCUUGUUUGGGCUAUCAGAGCUUUUUCUUUGUGGUUUGGGUUUUUUGGUUGGUUGGUGUCACGAAGUGGGACCUGUGCAUUAUUUCGUGUGCUAAGGAAAAACCAUUUUGAUUUUUCGAACCUUAGUAAGUAAUCCUAGAGGAUGCCUUCAGAGGUCACACCAUUAACUUUUAAUGGUGUGAAGUCUGAGACCUGGGCUCUGUGUUCUUCACCAAAGCUUUGUAAGUCUUUAAACUGCUUUGGGAUGAUCUGACUUGGCCCAUUUUUAUAUGUAACAUGUUUUAGCUAAUUCAUUGUGGACAGAUCUCUGCAAUCAACCAUGAAUAACUUUUUUUAAAAAAAUCAAACUCAUAUUCCCCAGAUAUAAAAAUGGAAAGUAAUCAAAGCCACCGUGAUGGAGGAUGGUAAGUCUGUGAUGCUUCAAGCAUUGCCUCUGAAGAUGUUAAACAGAAAAUUCUCAACAGUUAGGCCUAAAUUCAAAUUCUGGAAGUUACACUUUCUUACAGAUUAAUCCCAAUUGUUCUGCUAGUUCUGUGUUCUAGUUUUGAUGCACAUGGUUUUAAUGGGGAAAGAUUCUGAGUCCUAGUUCAUUUAGGCUUCAUGAAAAUUGAGUAUAAAACUGAGUGUUCAGUCAGAUUAUGAGCCAGAUUCUUCUUCUUAGACUUCUUAGACUAUACAAAUACAAUGAUACCUUCCAUAAGAGUAACCCACUCAAGAAUGUUCCUGUUUAAAAGAUGAAUUUUUUUCUCCUGAGCAAAUUGGAAAGGUUCCUAGUCUAAGCAGAAUUGAACAGAGCUGCCUUUUGAUUGAAGAUGUCAUUUUUAGUGGGUGAUAUUUUCUGAACACAAAACUUUGUAGAAGAGUAUCUAUUACUUUCACUGAUUUUGUUAUAAUGUUUUUUCUUCUGAUGAGA
rnacentral:lncRNA from 1 species